rnacentral:rRNA from 1 species
AACGAACGCUGGCGGCAUGCCUAACACAUGCAAGUCGAACGAGACCUUCGGGUCUAGUGGCGCACGGGUGCGUAACGCGUGGGAACCUGCCUUUAGGUUCGGAAUAACUCAGAGAAAUUUGAGCUAAUACCGGAUGAUGUCUUCGGACCAAAGAUUUAUCGCCUUUAGAUGGGCCCGCGUUGGAUUAGCUAGUUGGUGGGGUAAAGGCCUACCAAGGCGACGAUCCAUAGCUGGUCUGAGAGGAUGAUCAGCCACACUGGGACUGAGACACGGCCCAGACUCCUACGGGAGGCAGCAGUGGGGAAUAUUGGACAAUGGGCGAAAGCCUGAUCCAGCAAUGCCGCGGGAGUGAUGAAGGCCUUAGGGUUGUAAAGCUCUUUUACCCGAGAUGAUAUGACAGUAUCGGGAGAAUAAGCUCCGGCUAACUCCGUG